GGACCAUAAGGGUGGUAGAAUUGGUGGUCGGCUUUUCUAGCAAGAGAAGGAAAAAGCUGUGCUGGCAAGGGUGGGAACUGAAUGACAACCCCCCUCUGCCAAGCCACCCCCUCAUAUUUUCCAUCUACCUCCUCGCUCCUGCCCUCCUCCGCCCUCCCCAACCCACGCCCGGGUGGGCCAAUCGCUGCUCCGCAUUCCAGGCGCUUUCUCAGGUUUCUGCUGAUCUUGCAGCGCCCAGAAAUGGACCGAGCGGACCCGCCGCCGCACGCACCCUGCCCCACUCGGAGCUCCUAACGGCUCCGGACGCGCAGCGGAGCCUCGGCGAGGUCCACGCUGGGCUACGGAAUCCGAGGGGACCCGAGAGCCAUGUAGACCCAGGCUCUUGCUCGCCCGCCUCUUUCGGGAUCGAAUCAAGGGCUCCCGUAGUGUUAGGAGGGGGCGAGAGUGCUGUUUAUCAUCAUUUGCUUCAGAGCUUCGGGAGAGGGUGGCAUUUUGCUUUUCCGCCCCGCAUCCUCCGGAACUCCCUGCACCAGAGAGAGGACAGCGUCUCUAGGUUGCUGGCAACCGGUGAGAAUGGGGGUAGGGAAUGGAUAUUUCCGCCGUAGCUGCUCAGUAAAGCGACUGUCCACCUGAACGGCCGCAGGACGAGGGGGUGAGGGCGGCGAGUUUGCCCCGGCGCCUCUCGGAUGCGGCUGCGGCGGCGGUCGCGGCUCCCGCCCCGGUACUGCAAAGGCGACCUGCCGCAUUCCGACUCGGGCUCUCCGCCGACUCAGCACCGCCCCUGCGCCAAGCCGACCGGCCAGGUGGUGUAUCACAUUGACUGAUUUGCAGAUGUUGAACCAUCCCUGAGUUCCUGACAGGUGGGCCCUGUGGGAGCAGGAUGUGCAGAGGAACAAUGAGGCCUGAGCUGAACCCAGCCCUGCCGGGGCGAGCUGAGCCACCAGCGGGACAGCAGUCUGACUGAACUUCCCCGUCCUGCCCAGGAGAUGGCGAGCGUGUGCUGUUGGUGCUUCUCAAAGCCCGCUGAAUUGCUUGAUACGAUCUUCUUUAUGUUAUGAAAGAAGCCAGAGCAGGUUACCUUCCUGGACGUCUACACCAUGGCACCAUGCUCUUCAACUGGGUCAGUUUGUGGUCAUUGCUGCCCACUCCUCCUACAAUCUCUUUGCUGACUACUCUUGCCCGACGAGUUAGCUUGGCUGUCCUCCUGUACACCUUCAGCCUCAUCGCCAUUUUCCUCAACUUCAACCAGCAGACAUACCUGAGAGGCAAUGGGAGAAGCUGACUUAAGGGGAAGGACCCCAGGGCUGAAAUUAGCAGAACAGUGCCCACAGAGACUUGGGCAGAAGACGGCGUGGCUCAGCCCACCUGUGCUGAGCACAUACCUCUGGGCCUGCAUUUUGUCCUCUGAAGGAAGGAGACUUUCCUCCUUUCCAAAAUUCAGGAGGGCAGAAACAGACCCAGCUUCCCGUACUCACUUCCGUUACGGCACUUCCCACAUGGGUUUGUAACUGUUUGUACAUCUCCUUCCUCUACUGGACGUGAGCACCUCGCAGGAGGGACUGUCUUGUUCUCGAUGUUCCCCACACCUGGCACAGCGCCUCAAUAAAUGUGCAUUUGGAUCUUGUAUUCCAUGCCUGGCAGUCAGGACCUCUGGGGAAGUUCAGGGCUGGGAGCAUGGAAGAAGUCAAGGCUGGCUUGAUAUCGAAACUUGUGUGGGAAACGAUGACCAAGAAAACCCAAGAGUGAGUGUGGGUUUGUCUGAUUUCCAGCAUGGCUGUGUAAAUGGUUACCCCCGUGUAUCUUUACAUCUGUUCACCACUGCCUGCAUGUGUAUUUGUGUAGCUGUCUGAUUCUGUGUGUGUGUGAAGGGGUGACCCAGAGGGCUAGGUACGUAUGUCUGAAUACUUGUUUUCAAAUAGAUGCACGUUUCCAUUUCUGUUUCUCUCUGUUUGUGAUGUUUGCUUGUGUCUUCCGUAAAUCUCUGAACAUGCCACACUGGCAAAUAAACACGCUGGGAUCAAGAGCUCUCCUGUCCCAAUGGGGGACAUGGAAGUCCACUGAGAAAUCUCCG
ensembl:lncRNA